CCUACGGGUGGCAGCAGUGAGGAAUAUUGGUCAAUGGACGAGAGUCUGAACCAGCCAAGUAGCGUGAAGGAUGACUGCCCUAUGGGUUGUAAACUUCUUUUAUAAAGGAAUAAAACGAGGCACGUGUGCCUUUUUGCAUGUACUUUAUGAAUAAGGAUCGGCUAACUCCGUGCCAGCAGCCGCGGUAAUACGGAGGAACCGAGCGUUAUCCGGAUUUAUUGGGUUUAAAGGGAGCGUAGAUGGGUUGUUAAGUCAGUUGUGAAAGUUUGCGGCUCAACCGUAAAAUUGCAAUUGAUACUGGCAGUCGUGAGUACAGUUGAGGUAGGCGGAAUUCGUGGUGUAGCGGUGAAAUGCUUAGAUAGCACGAAGAACCCCGAUUGCGAAGGCAGCUUACUAAACUGUGACUGACAUUGAUGCUCGAAAGUGUGGGUAUCAAACAGGAUUAGAUACCCUAGUAGUC
rnacentral:rRNA from 1 species